rnacentral:lncRNA from 1 species
AACACUCUAGGUUUUACCAAAAUUGUUGCCAACACAUAGAACCAACAAACUUCCCCUUUGGCAAAUUUUGGCUAAAACAUACAUCAGACCAUUUGUUCACAAAAAAAACACAUCAGCAAUUUAGUAACAGAAGUAAUAAAACAUACAUUUACUAGCUAAAAUAGCAACUAGUAAACACACAUUAAACACACAUGUGCUUCUUCUCCCCCUCAGUCUGUUCAACACAGACAUUUCCUUCAACAACACCUGUA